rnacentral:rRNA from 1 species
UACGGGGGGAGCAAGCGUUGUUCGGAUUUAUUGGGCGUAAAGAGCCCGUAGGCGGCUUGUUGCGUCGACCGUGAAAACCCGCGGCUCAACUGCGGGCUUGCAGUCGAUACGGGCGGGCUAGAGUUCGGUAGGGGAGACUGGAAUUCCUGGUGUAGCGGUGAAAUGCGCAGAUAUCAGGAGGAACACCGGUGGCGAAGGCGGGUCUCUGGGCAGUAACUGACGCUGAGGAGCGAAAGCGUGGGGAGCGAACAGG